rnacentral:ncRNA from 1 species
AAUAAAAUUAUUUAUGGUUUAAAAAUUUAUUAUAAAUUUAUUUUACAUAUAAAUUUUAGUGUUAAUUUUUAAUUUAUUUAAAUAAUAAUUAAUAUUUAUUUGUAGUAAUUAGAAUUAAAAAUUUAAGUAAUUAAGAUUUAGUAAUAUUUAAAUUAAUAACAAAUUUUGUGCCAGCAGUUGCGGUUAUACAAAAAUUAAAUUAAAUUUUUUUAGGAAUUAAUUAAUAAUAGAUUAUAUAAUAAAAUUAAAAUUUAAAUUAUUAAGUGAAAUUUUAAUUUAUGAAAAUUUUAUAUUGAAUUAUGAAUUAAAAAAUUUUAUUAAAAACUAGGAUUAGAUACCCUAUUAUUAAAAAUUUAAAUUAAUAAUACUAAAAUAGUAUAUAAUUAUUUAUAAAAACUUAAAUAAUUUGGCGGUAUUUUAGUUUAUUUAGAGGAAUCUGUUUAUUAAUUGAUAUUCCACGAAUAAAUUUACUUAAUUUAUUUAAUUUUGUAUAUCGUUGUUAAAAAAAUAUUUUAAAAUAAUAAUAAUAUUUUAAUUUUUAUAUUAAAAGUUAAAUCAGAUCAAGAUGCAGAUUAUAAUUAAGAAUAUAAUGGAUUACAAUAAAUUUAUUUAAUUGGAUGUUAUUUUUAAAAAUUAAUUGAAAUUGGAUUUAAAUGUAAUUUUAUUUAAUUUAUUAAAAUGAUUUUAAUUUAAAAUAUGUACAUAUUGCCCGUCGCUUUCAUUAAUAAAUUGAAAUAAGUCGUAACAAAGUAGAGGUACUGGAAAGUGUUUCUAGAAAGAGUA